GUUGAGGACGAUCGGUCCGCCUUCUGGGUGAGUAUCUGGCUCGGCCUUGGCAUCUUCUUGGAGAACGUACUGCACUUCACUGUGUGGUGCGGAAUCCAGGACCUUUACUUUGAGGAAAUUAGAGUGUUUCAAGCAGGCGCACGCCUUGAAUACAUUAGCAUGGAAUAAUAGAAUAGGACUUUGGUUCUAUUUUGUUGGUUUCUAGGACUGAAGUA
rnacentral:rRNA from 1 species